rnacentral:miRNA from 1 species
UCUCUGAAAUAUUCCCAGCCUU